rnacentral:rRNA from 1 species
GUCCUUUAGAAUUUAAUUUAAGGUCUAACCUGCCCACUGAAUAUUAAUUUAAAUGGCCGCAGUAUUUUGACUGUGCAAAGGUAGCAUAAUCAUUAGUUUUUUAAUUAAAAGCUUGAAUGAAGGGUUGGACGAGAUAAAAUCUGUCUCUAAUAAAUUUAAUUUAGAAUUUAACUUUUAAGUUAAAAGGCUUAAAUAAAAUUAAAAGACGAGAAGACCCUAUAGAUCUUUAUAAUUUAAUUAUUAGAUUUAAUUAAGAAUUUUUAAAAUUUUAUUAAUUAAAUUAUUUUAUUGGGGUAAUAUAAAGAUUUAAAUAAUUCUUUUUUUUUAUUUACAUUAAUUUAUGAAUUUAUGAUCCAAUUUUAUUGAUUAUAAGAUUAAGUUACCUUAGGGAUAACAGCGUAAUUUUUUUAGAGAGUUCUUAUCGAUAAAAAAGUUUGCGACCUCGAUGUUGGAUUAAAGAUUAUUUCAGGUGUAGAAGUUUGAAAAUUUUGGUCUGUUCGACCAUUAAAUCUUUACAUGAUCUGAGUUCAGACCGGCGUAAGCCAGGUCGGUUUCUAUCUUUAAUAAAUUAAAAUAUUUUAGUACGAAAGGACCAAUUAUUUAAUAAAGUUAUUUAAAUUUUUGAUUAUUAUUAA